GGCCUAAUGGCUCAGUUGGUUAGAGCGCCGCCCUGUCACGGCGGAGGUCGAGGGUUCGAGUCCCUCUUAGGUCG
rnacentral:tRNA from 1 species